CCUACGGGAGGCAGCAGUGGGGAAUAUUGGGCAAUGGGGGCAAACCCUGAUCCAGCAAUGCCGCGUGAGUGAUGAAGGCCUUCGGGUUGUAAAGCUCUUUUGUCAGGGACGAUAAUGACGGUACCUGACGAAUAAGCUCCGGCUAACUUCGUGCCAGCAGCCGCGGUAAUACGAAGGGAGCUAGCGUUGUUCGGAAUUACUGGGCGUAAAGGGCGCGUAGGCGGCUUUAUAAGUCAGAUGUGAAAUCCCUGGGCUUAACCUAGGAAUGGCAUUUGAUACUGUAAGGCUAGAGAUCGAGAGAGGAUAGUGGAAUUGCGAGUGUAGAGGUGAAAUUCGUAGAUAUUCGCAAGAACACCGGUGGCGAAGGCGGCUAUCUGGCUCGAUACUGACGCUAAGGCGCGAAAGCGUGGGGAGCAAACAGGAUUAGAUACCCUGGUAGUCCACGCUGUAAACGAUGAAUACUAGAUGUUGGGAGAGCAAUCUCUCAGUGUCGCAGCUACGACAGUUAAGUUAGUUACCGUCCGUCGGGUAGGUACGGUCGGCGUAAGUAAGUUAAACGUUAACGAAAGUAAAGUUAGUUACGGACGUUGAGACGNGCGACGGACGACGACGAGGGAGGAGG
rnacentral:rRNA from 1 species